UAGUCCACACUGUAAACGAUGGAUACUAGGUGUAGGAUGUAUUAAGCAUUCUGUGCCGCCGCUAACGCAUUAAGUAUCCCACCUGGGGAGUACGACCGCAAGGUUGAAACUCAAAGGAAUUGACGGGGGCCCGCACAAGCAGUGGAGUAUGUGGUUUAAUUCGAAGCAACGCGAAGAACCUUACCAGGGCUUGACAUAAACAGGAAUAAUCAAGAGAUUGGUUAGCUCUUCGGAGCCUGUUUAC
rnacentral:rRNA from 1 species